rnacentral:lncRNA from 1 species
CGCCGCCGCAUCCCCUUCCAAGUUCAGGCUGUGGGUGGAACCUGUUGCUUUAGCUCACGUUUCCCUUCCCCUCCGGGCUGCACGCUGAGGAUGACCUCAGCGAGGUGUGUGUAAGGGGAAUGGAGGGGACAUUUUUUCAAGUUAGGAGCUUGGAGCUUUCAGACUUAGAUUUGUCUCUUGAAACCUUUGUAAAUUAGACAUCAGAAGUGUGGGAUAAGCACCUUUGUGCUCUGGCUCCAGCACCUUUCCCCAUCAAUCAACAAGUCCUGUCAAUUCUACGUUUGGCUUCCUUGAGACAGAGGAUCUUGCUCGCCUCAAAGAGGAGGGCAGUUUGCCCCCUUCCUCCUGACUCCAAGACAAAAGAGAGAAGACUGAAGAGUGGGAAGAGGUCAAAGGAAUAUCUUUAAAAGGGAUCCAGGGCCUCUCAGAGUUCACCUGAGCUUUCCCAAGUCUGGUUUGUUCUCUCUACCCUGCUGCUACUACUGCAAGUGACUUUCACAAGAUGCUUCUGAGCAUAGCAUUGCUCUGCUGUGACCACUGCAGAUGUCAAGAGAAUUUCUGCCUUUUGGAACUUGGACAAUAUUGGCCACCUACCCAGAGAGAGGAGAAGGAUAAUCCAGACAUAAAGGUAGCUCCCACACAUCCUUUGGAUCUCUGAUAAAGAGUCAUAUACUUAAAGAGCCAUCCUCACAUUCCUGCCCAGACUGUGAGCUGCAUGAGAGAGGCCAUGUCUCAUUUUGUUCCAUUACAUCUCCAGCACUUAAGAGUGCUGGACACAUAACGAGUGUCUGACACAUAACGAGUGCUGAAUAAAUGUUUGUUAACUGA